rnacentral:rRNA from 1 species
AGUGAACGCUGGCGGUAGGCCUAACACAUGCAAGUCGAACGGCAGCACAGUAAGAGCUUGCUCUUACGGGUGGCGAGUGGCGGACGGGUGAGGAAUACAUCGGAAUCUACUUUUUCGUGGGGGAUAACGUAGGGAAACUUACGCUAAUACCGCAUACGACCUACGGGUGAAAGCAGGGGAUCUUCGGACCUUGCGCGAUUGAAUGAGCCGAUGUCGGAUUAGCUAGUUGGCGGGGUAAAGGCCCACCAAGGCGACGAUCCGUAGCUGGUCUGAGAGGAUGAUCAGCCACACUGGAACUGAGACACGGUCCAGACUCCUACGGGAGGCAGCAGUGGGGAAUAUUGGACAAAGGGCGCAAGCCUGAUCCAGCCAUACCGCGUGAGUGAAGAAGGCCUUCGGGUUGUAAAGCCCUGUUGUUGGGAAAGAAAAGCAGCAGGUUAAUACCCCGCUGUUCUGACGGUACCCAAAGAAUAAGCACCGGCUAACUUCGUG